GAGAGAGACAGAGAGAUGCGUUUGAGAGAGAAAGAGUAAAGACGAAGAAGAGAACAUGAAGAGAAGAUGGAGGGAAGAGUAGUCAUUCGGAGUGACAGCUUUGCUUUCGAUGGCCAUUGCUCCGUCCGGUCGAUGAAGACCCACAAACAAAGCAGACGAAGCCAUCUCACCUCUCCCUCCGGCCGGAGCUCUCGUACCUCUUCCUUGCAUCGCCCAAUUUCAGCUAGGGAGAAAGCUAUGUUUGUCAACUUAGAGUUUAUAAAGGCUAUAGUUACAGCUGAAGGAGUGCUGUUGCUUAAUCCUCUCUGCCAGGAGGUUCUUCUGUUUGUGGAUCAGUUGCGGCAACAACUUCCUCAUAAAAGCAUGUCCAAAAGUCAAGGAGGGGGUCAAAUGGAUGUACAAGAUAAUGAAAUGCAAUUAUCAUCUAAGUUUCAAGGUUUGGAGCGUGACCUCCCAUUUGAGUUUCAAGUUCUUGAGAUCGCAUUGAAGGUUGUCUGUACAUAUUUGGACUCUAGUGUAGCUGACCUUGAGAGAAAUGCUUACCCUGUGUUGGAUGAACUGGUGAGGAAUGUUAGCACCAAGAAUCUUUAGCACGUGAGGAGUUUGAAAAGCAAUCUGACCAGUUUACUUGCACGGGUACAAAAGUUCAUCAAUUUUGGCUGCAAGUGGUGUCUUGAUAUGACUGGAUGGCAAGUGGUGUGUUGGUAUGACUGGAUGGCAAGUAGUGUCUUGAUAUGAACUGCAUCACGUGGACAACAAACAUUAGUUUGUAGAUUGUCCACAAAUGUUAAGCUCAAAACUUGUAUUCUUAGUAGGUGGUCAUUAUUAUGUACAUGGUUCCUUUUUCAUGUCUUAUGUUUGUUAGGUAUAUACUAUCCUUUUAUUUGGCUUUAGUUUUCGGAAAUUAUUCUCUAUUUUUUUUA